GACGAACGCUGGCGGCGUGCCUAAUACAUGCAAGUAGAACGCUGAAGGAGGAGCUUGCUUCUCUGGAUGAGUUGCGAACGGGUGAGUAACGCGUAGGUAACCUGCCUGGUAGCGGGGGAUGACUAUUGGAAACGAUAGCUAAUACCGCAUAAGAGUAGAUGUUGCAUGACAUUUACUUAAAAGGUGCAAUUGCAUCACUACCAGAUGGACCUGCGUUGUAUUAGCUAGUUGGUGAGGUAACGGCUCACCAAGGCAACGAUACAUAGCCGACCUGAGAGGGUGAUCGGCCACACUGGGACUGAGACACGGCCCAGACUCCUACGGGAGGCAGCAGUAGGGAAUCUUCGGCAAUGGACGGAAGUCUGACCGAGCAACGCCGCGUGAGUGAAGAAGGUUUUCGGAUCGUAAAGCUCUGUUGUAAGAGAAGAACGAGUGUGAGAGUGGAAAGUUCACACUGUGACGGUAUCUUACCAGAAAGGGACGGCUAACUACGUG
rnacentral:rRNA from 1 species